UCACACACACACACAUCACACACACAUCACACACACACGCACAUAUCACACACAUAAGACACACCCACGCACACAUCACACACAUCAAACACACAUCACACACAUCAAACACACAUCACACACACAGAUACAUCACACACACAGACACACACACACACACACACACAGACAAAGACACAUCACACACGCAGAGACACACACACAGAGACACACACACACACACAUACAUCACAUACACACAUAUCACACACACAUCACACACACACACACAUAUCACACACACAUCACACACACAC
rnacentral:lncRNA from 1 species